GUUAUUCUUUUGACUUACCUAUCUUGUGUAACUUAAUAAUGGAUAGUUAAUUAAAUAAUUGUUAUACAUCCCUUUCAUAAUUAGUCCGCUUGUAAGCGUUAUUGUUAUACCAUGAGUUAUCUAUUGAACAUGUAAAAUCAGUAAAUUCAAAUUUAACUCAAUAAGUGGAAAAAAGUGCAGUUGUCAUGAACUUCUCAAGCGAGCUAUCGGAAGACAUUUUGGUGAAGCUGCAAAUAGCAUAUUAAUCAACUUCCAAUUUGUUAAUUGUUGUAACAAGAAUAUUUUGUUGAUUUAUGGCAUGAACUUCAGAUUAGAUUAUAGUUAGAACUUCAAUUCUAUUGAUCUAAUGAGUUGUUGAAUUGAAUUUUGUGGCAGCAUCUUCGAAGAAAUUGCCACGUGGACCAGGACGUGCUCAAGAGGAUAGAUAGCUGACACAUCUUUAUAUAUGCUUUGGCUGUUGCAGUUGCAUGUGCAUCCUUUGGUUGAGUGUUGAUUUCACUUACCAACAAAUUUUGUCAUGUAGAUAUCAGUCUCAUUCUUUUGUAAUAAGUGACAUCUAAUUCAAUUUUAUUAGCACUGCUAGUUUAGUAUUGUAAAAAAUUUUUAGUGCAGUGCUUUAAUGUAGAAAAUAUUCAGAGCAACUUGUAUUUACUGCUCAUGGUUGUACAGAUUCAUUGAAUCUGGCAUAUGCCAUUCAAUAAUCUCUUAAAUUCGGUUUUUGGUA